rnacentral:rRNA from 1 species
UGCCAGUCGCCGCGGUAAUACGGAGGGUGCAAGCGUUGUUCGGAAUUAUUGGGCGUAAAGCGCGUGUAGGCGGUUCGUUAAGUCUGAUGUGAAAGCCCGGGGCUCAACCCCGGAAGUGCAUUGGAAACUGGCGAACUUGAGUACGGGAGAGGAAAGUGGAAUUCCGAGUGUAGGGGUGAAAUCCGUAGAUAUUCGGAGGAACACCAGUGGCGAAGGCGGCUUUCUGGCAUGACACUGACGCUCAUGGACGAAAGCGUGGGGAGCAAACAGGAUUAGAUA